rnacentral:rRNA from 1 species
GCAAAGCCGCGAGGCAGAGNGAACCCCAAAAAGCCGUCUCAGUUCGGAUCGCAGGCUGCAACCCGCCUGCGUGAAGUCGGAAUCGCUAGUAAUCGCGGAUCAGCAUGCCGCGGUGAAUACGUUCCCGGGCCUUGUACACACCGCCCGUCACACCAUGAGAGUCGGGAACACCCGAAGUCCGUAGCCUAACCGCAAGGAGGGCGCGGCCGAAGGUGGGUUCGAUAAUUGGGGUGAAGUCGUAACAAGGUAAC